rnacentral:lncRNA from 1 species
GGAGCCGUGCCUUUGCAGGCAGGAUCCCCAGCUGCUAGGUCACGCCCACAGCAGAAGGUCCCAGGGACUGGGAGUAAUCGUCAGUUUCCCAUCGUUGCCAUCUACGGAGGCUCUGCAUUGUCAUGAGCACCUCGCAGUUAUGACCUCUCACCCUGCAACAGCCCUGAGUCGUGGGGCUUUCUAUCCUUAUUUCACAGCAACAGGCCCAAAGGUGAUACCUGCUCCCUUCACCUUCUGCUGUGAGUGGAAGCUCCCUGAAGCUCUCACCAGAAGCAGAUGCUGGCACCAUGCUUCUUGUACAGUUUGAGGAACCAUGAGUUAAAUAAAC